UUUUUUGUCUUUUUGCCAUUUACUGUUACUAUUGCUUGUUCUGUUCAUUUUUGCAGAUGUCAGGCGGCGCGAUAGUAGCGUGCAGCGACGCGAAGGGCAUACGAGGCGACCACGUGUGGUGCCGGGACUGGGGCAGAGGCGCAUGCGGUGCCCUAGGGCUUCCCUCUUUUCUGAAAAACUUUUGUUUGUGGGCUAGGGUUUUUUUAAUUUUCUUUUGGGCCUAUUGGGUUUAGGCUUGUAGUUCUGAUUGGACUGUAAUUUUUUACUUAUUUUUG
rnacentral:lncRNA from 1 species